UUCUUUUGGUCUGAUAGAAAUACAUUUGAAUUGAUAAAAAUAAUUUCAAAAUGAAAAACAAUUUUGAACCGAAAAAUACUUUUGAACGAAAAAACUUCUUUUGGACUAAAAGAUAAUUUUAAAAAUUAUUUUGAACUUGUAGAAAUACUCUUGAACCAAAAAUACUUUUAAACCAAAGAAUACUAAAAUCGGAAGUACUUUUAAACAAAAAAAAUACUAAAAUCGAAAAUACUUUUAAACUAAAAAAUACAAAAAUAAUCAGAAAUACUUUUUAAACGAAAAAGACGCUUUUUAACCGAAACUAAAAAAUACUUUUUAAGCCAAAAAAUGCUAAAGCGAAAAAUAAAAAUACUUUUAAACCAAAGAAUACUCCAACCAAAGAAAUACGUUUAAACCAAAGCUUUAACCAAAGAAAUACUUUUAAAAAAAAGAACUCUAACCAAAGAACUAGUUUAUAAAGAAGAAAAAAAAAUACUGAAACGAAAGAAUCAAAAUAGAGACUGAAUUUUGGAAUAUCGACUAGAAGAAGAAAGGAAAAACAAUGCGAAAACAGAAGAGAGCACGCAAACGAUUAGGGGAGAGAAAAUCAGUGAUCGAAUCACUGAUUGAAAAAUCAUUAAGUGUAGUGGAAAUUGGUGGAAGAAUAAAAUUGUGGCGAUUGUGAAGAGGUGAAAAGGAAAAAAAAAAGAAAAGAAAAGUGGAGGGUGAGGAGUUCGAUCAUAAAAUAAGAUCGACAGGCCUCAACAAGGAAGAUUUCACACAACUAAGAUGAAUGAGAGUGAGAUCUAUUUUUUCGGAGAAUUCAACCAAGAGGCAUCAAUAUCAAAUGAACUAAAUCCAAGUUUCAAUAAUAGCAAUGAUAGUGACAUAAGUUUAAACAUAAAUGGCACACCAUGGAACGUGCACAAUGAUAAUUUAUGGGAUUUAGCGACAGAUCGUGCUGGUCUUGCAAUUGUUCUAUUACUAUUUUCAGUGGCAACAGUAUUUGGUAAUACUCUUGUGAUAUUGGCGGUAAUACGUGAACGUUAUUUGCAUACGGCGACAAAUUAUUUUGUCACAUCGCUUGCAUUUGCCGAUUGUUUGGUUGGAUUGGUGGUUAUGCCAUUUAGUGCAAUUUAUGAAGUGCUGGAAAAUCGAUGGCUAUUCACUAUUGAUUGGUGUGAUGUGUGGCGUUCGCUCGACGUAUUAUUUUCGACGGCGUCAAUUCUUAAUUUAUGCGUGAUUAGUUUGGAUCGUUAUUGGGCGAUAACUGAUCCGUUCACUUAUCCAACGCGUAUGAGUCGGAGGCGAGCGGCAAUUUUAAUUGGCAUUGUUUGGAUAUGCUCGAGUGCAAUAUCAUUUCCGGCGAUAGCGUGGUGGCGAGCGGUGAGAACUGAGGAAGUGCCAAAGGACAAAUGCCCAUUCACGGAGCACUUGGGCUAUUUGAUAUUCUCGUCGACAAUUAGUUUUUAUUUGCCAUUGUUUGUGAUGGUGUUCACGUAUUAUAGGAUAUAUCGUGCGGCGGUGAUACAGACGAGGAGUCUUAAAUUGGGUACGAAGCAAGUGAUGAUGGCUUCGGGUGAAUUGGAAUUGACAUUGAGAAUACAUCGUGGUGGUGGUACUAAUGCGGAUGCGAGACAUUUAUUUCGCACGGCGUCGAGUACACCGGAGGAUUUGCAGGAUUUGGAGGAGCCUUUAACGGCAUUGCAUAAUAAUGGCUUGACGAGGCUACCGUCGGCGAGAUUAAAUAAUAAGCAAAAUAUGGGAAAGAAUUUUUCUCUAUCGAGGAAAUUGGCGAAAUUCGCCAAGGAGAAAAAGGCUGCUAAAACACUUGGUAUUGUUAUGGGUGUGUUCAUUGUUUGUUGGCUGCCAUUUUUUGUCGUUAAUUUAUGGUCGGGAUUUUGCAGCAAGUGCAUUUGGCAAGAGGAAAUUGUCUCCGCCGCUGUCACGUGGUUGGGAUGGAUCAACAGUGGAAUGAACCCUGUGAUCUAUGCAUGCUGGAGUCGUGAUUUUAGAAGGGCUUUUGUCAGAAUUCUGUGCGUCUGCUGUCCAAGGAGGAUGCGUCGACGUUACCAACCUGCCUUUAGAUGUAAACCUAGUCAGAAGAAGAGAUUUCCGUCGAGAAGACUCUGCAUGAAGCGUUCGUUCCACAAGGGGAGAAGAAGUCGCGAGAACUCCUGUGAACAAACCUACAUUUAACGACAGCGUCUGAAAAAAAAAUUAACUCAGGAUGGCCAAGAAACUGCCCAUGACGAUUGCACACACUAUUAUAAAUUCAAAAAACAAAAAAGAAAAAAGAAACGAUACGAAAGCAGCUUUUUCCGCAAUAACGCUUUUUUGCAAUUCAUCGUUCACAGUACUAAAGUGUCGGCAUCACUCCCAUAUACCAAACUUCUUUUCCAAAAAAAAUAUUUCUACUUUCUUUCCCCAUAUUCACAUAUCCUUUUUUUUCCUUUUUUCAAAUAUUCUCUACUUUUUUCCCUACAAUAAAAGUGGGGAGUUUUUUCACUUUUUUUGCUCCGAAUUCUUUCCCGCUUCCCACACACAGGUCUCGUCCAGCUUUUUCCUUUCAGACGCAAACUUGAAAUGGUACCAUCGCUGAUCUUAUCUCGUGCUAACCCGCUUUAUAAGCAUAUUAAAUCUCCAUGGACGGAGAGGACAAGCUAUUUUCAUUGAGCGAUUAUACCGUACACGUCGGGAAUGGGAGCAGGCGGACAGGCGAGCAGCGUCAGCUACAGUAGCGUCAGUCAGAGCAGUGAUGCUGGAGUUUGUCCCGCAGCGCCUGGACCACGUGGCAGCAGUAUAUGACGACAAC